AUCCAACUGGUAUAGCUCAGUUGGUAGAGCAUGAGACUCUCAAUCAUAGGGUUGCUGGUUCGAGCCCCAUGUUGGGCA